GUGGGGAAUAUUGGACAAUGGGCGCAAGCCUGAUCCAGCCAUGCCGCGUGAGUGAUGAAGGCCUUAGGGUUGUAAAGCUCUUUCACCGGAGAAGAUAAUGACGGUAUCCGGAGAAGAAGCCCCGGCUAACUUCGUGCCAGCAGCCGCGGUAAUACGAAGGGGGCUAGCGUUGUUCGGAAUUACUGGGCGUAAAGCGCACGUAGGCGGAUAUUUAAGUCAGGGGUGAAAUCCCAGAGCUCAACUCUGGAACUGCCUUUGAUACUGGGUAUCUUGAGUAUGGAAGAGGUAAGUGGAAUUCCGAGUGUAGAGGUGAAAUUCGUAGAUAUUCGGAGGAACACCAGUGGCGAAGGCGGCUUACUGGUCCAUUACUGACGCUGAGGUGCGAAAGCGUGGGGAGCAAACAGGA
rnacentral:rRNA from 1 species